AUUGAACGCUGGCGGCAGGCCUAACACAUGCAAGUCGAGCGGAGCGGCGGACGGGUGAGUAAUGCCUAGGAAUCAGCCUGGUAGUGGGGGAUAACGUCAGGAAACGGGAGCUAAUACCGCAUACUAUCAGAUGAGCCUAGGUCGGAUUAGCUAGUUGGUGGGGUAAAGGCCUACCAAGGCGACGAUCCGUAACUGGUCUGAGAGGAUGAUCAGUCAAAUUGGAACGGAGACACGGUCCAGACUGCGACGGGAGGGAGCAGUGGGGAAUAUUGGACAAGGGGCGAAAGCCUGCUCCAGCCAUGCCGCGUGGGGGAUGAAGGCUUUCGGGUUGUAAACCUCUUUCGCGAUCGAAUGGGUAGGUGGAGAAGAAGCGCCGGCUAACUACGUGCCAGCAGCCGCGGUAAUUC
rnacentral:rRNA from 1 species